CAUGAUUCUGCCGGAUUUCUUUUAUAUUUCAACCCAAACCCUAAAUAUCAGAGCUUCUUCUUCACGCUUCUUCUUGCCUGAUUCCAAACCCUAAGUGAUCCUUUCCUCCAUCAAUUCUUCCUUCAUCGAUUCAUCAAUAUUAAUCAUAGGUUUUGCAGGUGGGGGAAUCGAUUCCUUCCAGAAAUCGAUGAACCCUAAAAUGAUCUCCCAAACCCAGGGUUUUAGGGCUUUUUAUUUU